GCCAAUGGGAUCGGCGUAUUUUGCAGACUCGCGCUAACAGCACGAGAACCACGGCCACGUCAGAUAAUUUCACUGUAGUCAGCGCUAAAUUACGGCUGUCUGGAAACUUUCACUGCAACAAUGUCCGAAGCUGAUGAGAAAUACAUGAGCAGCCUUGACAAAUAUAACAUAGAGCAGGACAGAUAUGUGAACGCGAGUCACAGCGGAAAAGGGCGCACGAAGAAAGAGGUGGAGCAAAAUCACCACGAGGAUCCGAACGGCCAUACUCGAAAAACCACUCAGAAACUCAUCAACAGCGUUCACAAGUCGCACGAAGUUAAUAAGAAAUCAUGACCGUGUCAUCUCUUUGUUAGUGUUCACUCAAAUAAAGGACCCGGCCCAAGGACGAGAUUAAUGAUAACGUGAUUUGAGUUAUAGUGCUACUUAACAAGUCAAACGGACUGAAAUUGCCACAAGAUAGUGUUGUUCAGAAAGGACUGAUCUUGAGCUGUUUCGUGGAUUGCAAUACCUUGCUUCUCCAUUAUAAUAUUGCCGUUUAAAUGUGGAUUUAUUCUGCACAUUGUUUAAUGUUUUGAUGCAUUUUUUUGUUGUAUUUUGUACAAAUAAAUAGUCAUAAAAUAUA